rnacentral:rRNA from 1 species
AGAGUUUGAUCAUGGCUCAGGACGAACGCUGGCGGCGUGCUUAACACAUGCAAGUCGAACGGAGCACCCUUGACUGAGGUUUCGGCCAAAUGAUAGGAAUGCUUAGUGGCGGACUGGCGAGUAACGCGUGAGGAACCUGCCUUCCAGAGGGGGACAACAGUUGGAAACGACUGCUAAUACCGCAUGAUAUAUUUGAGGGGCAUCCCUUGGAUAUCAAAGAUUAUAUCGCUGGAAGAUGGCCUCGCGUCUGAUUAGCCAGUUGGCGGGGUAACGGCCCACCAAAGCGACGAUCAGUAGCCGG